AAAAAAUCUGUUUCCUAUUUUAAUUUUUGAUGUAGAAUCUUGGCUCCGGUCUGCUUUGCUGAGCUAGAAAGGCUCGAUCCGUUCAAGGAAGAAAAGGUGAGUCUGGUACCGGUGCAGGAAGAAACUUCUUAACAGGCCUGUGAUUAACCAAACGUCAAUAGACAUAGCAGACAUCUGAGUCACCGGCAACUCAGGAAAUGCUGCUGGGUCUUCACUGUACUUUGUUCCCCGUGUCAGGCCAGUCCUGCAAGCCCCUGGGAAACCGUCUUUGCUUCGGCCUUGUGACACCAAACCAAGAUGCAAGAGACGCUGGGAGUAGGUAAGCAUGAGGAGGUGCUACACACUUCUUGAAGAUGCCAAACACACUUCUUGAAGAUGCCAAACACACUUCUUGAAGAUGCCAAACACACUUCUUGAAGAUGCCAAACACAGUCAAACUUCAGUUGUCUACAAGCCAGCUCGCUAGAGGGAUUAACCAAACUUGUCUCCUAUGCUGAAUGUUUGGAGGACAGAUGCUGAACACAAGAGACUAUGUACCUAUUGAGGCUUUCUUUUUAAAGCAAACAAUGUCUAUCUAGACAAUAAGCAAUUUCUCUGGCUGGGAAGGUCACUCAGUCAGUACAGCGCUGGCCUUGCAAGCAUGAGGACCUGAGUUCCAUCCCCAGAAGUCAAUUAAAAAAAAUU